UAAAUAUCCUGAAGUUUGUGUACUUAAAUUAUUAUUGAAUAAACAUUACCAGAAGAAAAGAUUCUAUGACGUUAAUAAAUGCAAGCCAAAUGUGUCGAAACAAGGGCCCAAUUAAAGUUUUCAAAAGAGAACUAAUAGUAUAGAUUGCGUGUAUUAUGACAGACACAAGGCGGCACAACUGACUCUCUCUUCAACGGGGAACAAAUAUUCAACGAUUGAAUCCGCAUUUUCUCUGAUAAUGUUUGAGAUCAUAAACAGGAAGACGUGAAACAGACAAUGCUUUAGGAUAUUUGAAAAUAAUGGAAUAAAACAUCGGUGAUUUAGCCAAGCUCGGUAAUCAGUAGCUAUAUAAGGUCGACGCAUCGUGGCUUGAUAAAAACCCUGGCUUGCGAGGUUGUCCGUUUAUAUCCAGCAUUUCAACAGUCAAAAG